rnacentral:rRNA from 1 species
CUCAGUUCGGAUUGGAGCUGCAACUCGACUCCAUGAAGCUGGAUUCGCUAGUAAUCGCGCAUCAGCCAUGGCGCGGUGAAUACGUUCCCGGGCCUUGUACACACCGCCCGUCAAGCCAUGGGAGCCGGGGGUGCCUGAAGUACGUGACCGCGAGGAGCGUCCUAGGGCAAAACUGGUGACUGGGGCUAAGUCGUAACAAGGUAUC